CCUUCGAUAGCUCAGUUGGUAGAGCGGUGGACUGUAGCACGAAAAGAUGGUUGGCUGGCGGCUAGCAAGGUUGAUCGUCGAACAGUGACGUAACUGAUCCACUGAUCCGAUCGACUCUGAGUCAUCAGCCAACAGAAACAAUAGAAAUCCAUAGGUCACUGGUUCAAAUCCGGUUCGAAGGA
rfam:Anopheles darlingi Cont3139, whole genome shotgun sequence.